rnacentral:rRNA from 1 species
CCUACGGGAGGCAGCAGUGGGGAAUAUUGCGCAAUGGGCGAAAGCCUGACGCAGCGACGCCGCGUGAGGGAUGAAGGUCUUCGGAUCGUAAACCUCUGUCAACAGGGAAGAACGGUCACUGUGCUAAUCAGCAGUGAAUUGACGGUACCUGCAAAGGAAGCACCGGCUAACUCCGUGCCAGCAGCCGCGGUAAUACGGAGGGUGCGAGCGUUAAUCGGAAUUACUGGGCGUAAAGCGCUCGUAGGCGGUAUGUCAAGUCAAGGGUGAAAUCCCCGCGCUCAACGUGGGAACUGCCUUUGAAACUGGCAAACUGGAGUGUGUGAGAGGAUAGUGGAAUUCCAGGUGUAGGAGGGAAAUGCGUAGAUAUCUGGAGGAACAUCAGUGGCGAAGGCGACUAUCUGGCACAUAACUGACGCUGAGGAGCGAAAGCGUGGGUAGCAAACAGGAUUAGAUACCCUUGUAGUC